GCAACUUGUUGCUGCUGAAGACGAUUUCUCGUCACGCAAAGGCUGUGGCUGGGAAAGUGAAAAGCAACUCACAAGGGACUAGAAACCGCAGUCGCUGUCCCUAAGCAAGAGUGACACCUUGGUGAUUCUUUCGUAUAUUUCAAGACAGCCCAUGUUUCCUCUGGUCUCAUUCUCUGACUCGGGUGGAAGUGGAACCAAAUGCGAGUGUGAUCUCAAGAAGAAAGCACAGAGAGAGACUAUCGCGGUUCUGUGGCAGUGUAUCCAAACAGGCCACAGCAAAGACAAGGUUGUGCCUGGAGGAGUCUUGCUGUAUCCGGUUAGAAAGAGUGUAAAUCUGUCCUGAAAUUUGAGUACCACAAGAGGCAUCAGAGCUCACUGGGUCAAGUUAAAAUAUGACUUUCUCCAUGUUUGAGUUGUCCCAGGUUGUUCUGAGUGCUCAGCUGUUGCCCUGUGAAGCUUCCAACUUAAAGGAACCCUUGCUAUCCGCUGUAGUCCAGUCCUUCUGAACAGAAUUCCUCAAGCCUCCUGGGAGUCCCCGGAGCAGGGAGAGGAAACAGAAGGGAGAUGUUCAGCAAAGAUGAAAUGUACACUGUUCCUUAAGAUCUCAAGUGACUUCUGCACUUCUGCUUCACAUCUUUGUCCCUUACUCUUCAAACAGAAUGGCUGCCUCCUUCCCAGAAAGUCCAAAUGCUAUGGAUUUUAAAACACCUCAUCUGCCAGCUCUGGCUGGGGCGGACUCCUCAACUGAGUUCUCUUGCCGCAAUCUCUUGUUCUCCUUCAGAGUACUUGUCAGAAGUUGAAAUUGUAUCUCCCUUCCCCUACAUUUCUGCUAUGCCUUUCUUCCCUGUUCCUCUUCCCUUCCCUCCCUCCCUCCGUUCCUCCCUUUCUUUGCACCAGACUAGAAUGUCUGUAUAUUUGCUAUUUAUCCCUUAAGCCCAUCAGACAGCUGCUACACAGUGGGGCCUCAAAAACAUUUGCUGCUUUUUUUCAUAUUAAUACAUUGUUUGACCUCAAGAAAAGUGUGUUCAAAAAAGAAAGAAAGGAAGGAAGGAAGGAAGGAAGGAAGCAAGAAAAGUGUGUUCAACAGGGUCAUCUGUAUUAAUAAACUAAUAGAGUCAAUGCUAUAAUACUUCAGGUUGUAUAUUAUAAAGAGAGCCAUGUUUCCUUUAAGAGAAUUCACAUACCGUGUGAUCCACCCAUUUACACUAUGCAAGUGUAAAUACCCAACCCGCAGAAUCAUACAAGCAGCGCCAUAAUCAACUUAAGAAGGUUUUCAUACUACAGAGAGAAACUUCUGACGUUAGCAUCAAUCUUCAUACCCAUCCUCUGGCCCAUGGUAUCUCUUCCGAUUUGCCUGUUCUGAAUGUUUUGUAUAAAUGGAAUCACCCUGUGCAGGAUGUGUCUGGAUUUUUCUUUCUAGAUAAUAGUUUGUUUACCAUAGUGAGCUGUUUUUUCAGCCUAUGGAUACUUGGA